GCAUCGCUCGGACCACUUCUUCAUUCGCUUCGAUGUUCGGCUCAUUGAGCAACCCUCUGUCCCCCCUCCGAUGGUCUCGUUCCGGCGCAACCUCCGCAACCUCUCUCCCACCCACUUUUCCUCUCUGGUUUCUUCUGCUCUUCCACCUUUAUCCACUUUCUCCUCACUAGGUGUCGAUGAUGCCACAGAAUCACUCUGCUCCACUCUGAGCUCAUGCUUGGAUACUUUGUGUCCACUUUCCACCAGACCUGCUCGUUCUACCCAGUCUCAUUCGUGGCUGAGCGAUACCCUCCGAACGCAGCGCUCCAAUCUCAGAGCGGCUGAGAGAAAGUGGCACAAAUCUGCAGCACUGGACGAUCUUGCAAGCUACCAGACACUGCUGGCCUCCUUCUCAUCCAGCAUCACUGCUGCUAAGAAGACUUUUUUCAACGACAAGAUCAAUGGUGCAACUGACGCUCGGAAACUAUUCUCCACCUUCAAAACUCUGCUCUACCCUCCUCCUCCUCCCCCAGCUACUAACCUCACUGCUGAUAACUUUGCUUCCUUUUUCACAGAGAAAGUGGCAGCCAUCGGGAAACAGUUCGACCAACUGUCUCCCCCCCCUAAGGGCGCAACCGUCAAUGGCUCAUCAUUUCCUUCUUUCACCCCUCUCAGCGAGAGUGAGGUCUCCAAAAUCCUAACAGGUAGCCGUCCAACUACAUGCCCGCUGGACCCCAUCCCAUCCAAUAUCCUUCAAGCCAUAUCGCCUGCCGUCUUACCGGCAAUAACACAGGUGAUUAAUGCUUCAUUUAAUUCUGGAACAUUCCCCUCUUCAUUUAAAGUGGCUCGGGUAACACCGCUGCUCAAGAAGCCGUCUCUCGAUCCCACUCAGGUGGGAAACUAUCGACCGGUCUCACUUCUCACGCUACUAUCAAAAACCAUUGAGAGGGCAGCUUCCAAACAGGUCACAGAGUUCCUAGCAAGGAACAAUCUCCUCGAUCCAAACCAGUCUGGAUUCAAAAGUGGUCACUCCACCGAAACAGCCCUGUUGUCUGUGACAGAGGCCUUGAAAACAGCUAGAGCAGCAGCUCAAUCCUCAGCUCUCGUCCUGCUUGAUUUAUCAGCUGCGUUUGAUACAGUCAACCACCGCAUCCUUCUGUCCAUACUGUCAAGUAUGGGCAUUUCUGGCAAGGGCACUCCUGGUUUGAAUCGUACCUCACUGGGCGCUCGUUCAAUGUGUCAUGGCAAGGUCAGCUGUCUGUACCUCACCACCUUACCACAGGGGUGCCCCAAGGCUCGGUGAUGGGACCACUUCUCUUUGCCAUUUACACCACUUCGCUGGGCCCUAUCAUCCGCUCGCAUGGUUUUUCCUAUCAUUGCUAUGCCGAUGAUACUCAACUGUUUCUGUCUUUCCCUCCUGAGGACACCACUGUCUCAGCGCGGAUCUCGGACUGUCUUGCUGAUAUAUCCACAUGGAUGAAAAACCACCACCUUCAGCUGA
rnacentral:lncRNA from 1 species